rnacentral:sRNA from 1 species
ACUUCCGUUGAGUUCCGCCUCGCCGUUUGUCCCUUGCGGCUACCCGUCCGCAUACGAAUCUAGCCCUGGAACCGAGUUGCGGGAGUGCGGUUUGUGUGGUUCCGGCCAGGAGUUUGCCGACUGCAGACGUCCUGCGAACCGUGGAUCAAUCUUCCUGUCCUACACCUGACCAAGGAUCCCCUAAAGACCCCUGGAAGGCUGGACCAUGGCACAAGAACUGCCUUCAUCCAUCACCGGGAGCAAGUGUGGAAGAGAUGCAUCAACAUUUGGCGUGAUGUGGGCCUUUUUGGGGUGCUAAAUGAAAUUGCAAACUCAGAAGAAGAGGGUAAGUAUUUUUCCCUCCAGCCUUGCCUAGUUUUGUGGUUAUCUCCCCUCCAUAUUCUUGAACUCACCCCGACACCUGUUGGCUCAGCCUCUUUUAGCCCUAUUUUUCCUGUCCUCUCCUCUACCUACCCAAAUAGCCCAGAGUGGGUGUCCAGAGUGGUGUUGAGAGCACUUACUGGGCAGAAGGACCUGGGGAGUGCCUGUCCUUCUUUGUCUUUGACCUAGAGGGUACCUGGUAAGAGGCCUGUGAAUGGUUUAAUCAGAGCUGCUUCCUCAACCCUACAGUGU